AAAUCCAGCAAUCGCCUCUCACUCCUCGCACUUCCUCCGCAACUCGCCCCGCGCCGCCACCCAUCUCCGCCUCCUCUCCCAAAUCCUUCCUGCCGCCAUGGCUAAGCGCAUCACCACCUCCCCGAGCUCUUUCCAUCUCUCCAGGGCGUGAUCAGUUCCACGAAAAGGAGGCCCCCGGUGAAGUAGCGUCCUGUGAUGGAUCGAUCGAUGUGGCCGAUGGCUAACGCCGGCAUGCGACGGGGAGGCCACCACCUCUCUUCGUCUCCUCCCAGCAUCUCGAUCUGGAGCGAGCGCAGGGGGUGGCAUACGAGGCCAUAGGCCGCCGCUGGCGACGCCUCUGCAUCGUCGUCGACCGAAUUAGGGGAGCAGCAUGCGACGAUUCUAGCGUUAGGAGAAGUUCAGACUUAGGAGAGGUUCAGACUGCGGUGCUACACAGCUGCGUCACCAGCCCUUCUGCAGGUAUGCAAGCUCAUCCUCUUCUCUUAUUUCAUACUAAUGCAAAGGAGAGGUACAAAUCGGGAGAUUGGUUUCUCAAUCAAGGGAAUGACUAGAACAUCUAUUUUGGGAGUGAUGACUUCCAGAUUUACCUUUGUUAUGUUAACUGUAUGGGAUCUUGAUCCAAAGUUCCAUAAAUUUACACUUGCUAUGUUAACUGUAUGGUGUUGACCCAAAGUUGAAAACUUUUCUUAGUCGUAUGUUGGAUGGCCAGAUCUAUGAAAACUUUUCUGUAGAAGUUAUAUGGUUUACACUUUAUACUCUUAUUCUCAAAUUUUUUUCCACUUGUAAUUGCUGGUGGGGAAUGAACUAGAGUCAGACUUUGGGAUGUUCUGGGAAGAAUUCUGCUAUUUCAUCUCUAAAAAGUCCGAAAGCGCAAUUCAUGAGUUAUCUGACUCAGUUUGGUAAGUGACAUGCGUAAAUUUUUGUUUCCUUGUGUAUCUCAUGAUGAUGCUUCAUAGAUAGGCUAUGGGGCUUGGCUUGAGAAGCAGCAAACAACUUGUCUCUGUAGAUUAUACUUUAUAUAUAUGCCUACAAGGUGUUAGAUAUAAUAAACAUACCGGCUGCAAAGGAUAAUUAUUCUAUGUAAUGUUGUUCCUUAUUGUGCCCUGAAUAAUUUAUACAUUUGAUGUAUUAGCUUGAUGUGUUCUUCCUGUAGCUGCCUAAGUUUAUUUACAUGGUUCUGUGGCCUACUUAACAAUAUGAUUGUUUUCUUUAUUCUAUAUUUCUGCCUCGCCAGGCCCUUGGGUUAUCUCUGCUUUAUUUGUGUGUACGUCCAUUUGUUUUUUUCCAAAUUUUCUGAAAUUUCACCAUGAACAUUUCUUUUUUGCAUUCCUGAGCAUUCGCCAAUUUAACCUUCAUAUUUGAUGUUUCGUCGUGUGUUAAGGUACUCAUGGGUUUCUUUGUUCUCACAUGAUAUAGUUUUCCAUGCCUUUUGGGAAUAUUAAUAUGUUGACUGUCGUACAGCCUGCAAAACCAUAAUUUUGGUUUUAAAUUCCUUUAUAUAGGGAUGAUGUGUUUUUCUUUUAUAUUUGUUGUUUAAGAAAAGCUAAUAACUACUCAUAUUAUUAUGACUGUUGAUUACAUUCAGUAAAAAUCCUAUUCGGCAAUUUAAAUCUCAGUGAAUGUGAUACUUCACUACACAUGCGCUCAGAUUUUUCGAAGUUCUCAUCUCAGGUAUGAAUUCGAUUGGAUCGGACUACCAAAAAAUAUUUUACUUGCAGUUCCCAUUGUUGCAGGUAUUGAUUCAUCCCGGUUCUUCCUAGAUUUAUCCAUUAGGUAAUCAUUGCUUUUCUUAUUAAUGCAUUUGCUCAUAGCCAGAUUCUUUAAUAGCCAAAAUAGUGCUCCUUAAGUUAUUUUUUAUUUCAGGCAAUAAGAGCAUACCUCACUUGUUGCAGUGUUUAGACCAGAAUUAUGCAUGAUUUUGGGUUCAUCUAGUGAAAAAUUUCAGUUCUACUAUGUAUAUUCUUGGAUGCUUGGAUUUAGUAUUAGAACUGGAGGUUCUACAUAAAUACAAAUGAUGUGUGAAUUUUUCUGUUGAAA